UGAGAUUUACCAAACAAAAGUUAUGAAUCAAUAAUUUAAAUUUGAAAAGUACUUUUUACCAUUAGAAGCCUGAGCCCGUAAUGACCUGUACGGAAGAUUUCUGAAAGGCAAGUGAGCUGCACUACAGGCUAGGCUCUGGUAGGCUUCUCGGCCUGUUUUUAUCAGCGAUUGGGUGUCCGAAUUUGGUUUGCAUUUCAGGUUUUAUCCCAGUGACAAGAAUAUAACUCUUGGUAUAGGGGGAAAAAGUUAUAGUCUCUGUUCCAGUGACUGUAAGUUCCCUAUUCCUGCUGUCCCUUCCCUCCAACCCUUCGUCCUGCCCCCAAGGAAAGCAAAGUAGGAUCUUCUUGCUUGUUGCCCUGAUCAAGAAAUAAUGACUCGCUAAUGGACGCGGGAGGAACAGCAGGCCUGAAAAUACGCCCUCAAUUAUUGUCACGUUGUUGUACACUGAGGCGCGAGCGCUGGGUGAUUUUGCUGACUUGUGCAUCUUCCGCAGAACUCCUUUCUCCGAUUUUUCAGGGUGGCGGAAGAUAAUGGCGCUUCCCGUGGUAACGGACUGACUCCGGCCGGGCGUGCGUGCCUGGGGCAGCGCCCGGCAGUCACAGUGUUUGCACAGCUCUGGGAGGAACGCUGGGUUUAGUUUGUACUGUGGCGGGGGAGAGCUAAAACGGAUUUGCGAGUCGGGGCGUAUGUAGCUGGCUGAUUUCUUUGUGACAGAGCAGAGUUUUCAAGGGAAAACUCAAGAAUACAGAACCCAAAGCAUUUUUUUUUUUCCCCCCCCCAAACAGGGUGACAGCAUUAAGGUAGCUCAAACUACUUGACAGUGUCCUUUUAAGUCAAUUAUCCGUCUUCAAAUGGACUCUUCCUUAUGUUUGUAUUUAUAAAUACCAAUAAACACCAUUUUCCAAGCCGUGUCUUACUGGAGGAAUACCUUUGUAGAGCAAAAAAAAUAAA